rnacentral:rRNA from 1 species
AACAACGGAUCUCUUGGUUCUGGCAUCGAUGAAGAACGCAGCGAAAUGCGAUAAGUAAUGUGAAUUGCAGAAUUCAGUGAAUCAUCGAAUCUUUGAACGCACAUUGCGCCCUCUGGUAUUCCGGAGGGCAUGCCUGUUCG